rnacentral:rRNA from 1 species
GACGAACGCUGGCGGCGUGCUUAACACAUGCAAGUCGAACGAAGUGGCGCACGGGUGUGUAACGCGUAAUCAACCUGCCCUUCCGAGGGGGACCACAGUUGGACACGACUGCUAAUACCGCAUCCUAAUGGAGGGGAUUGCGUCUGAUUAGCUAGUUGGGGGGGUAACGGCCCACCAGGGCGGUGAUCAGUAGCCGGGCUGGGAGGAUGAACGGCCACAGUGGGACUGAGACACAGCCCAGACACCUACGGGAGGCAACAGUGGGGAAUCUGCCGAAAUUGGCGAAAGUCUGACGGAGCAACGCCGCGGGAGUGAUGACGGCCUUCGGGUUGUAAAGCUCUGUUAAGCGGGGCGCGGUACCGGAAUAGAAAGCCACGGCUAACUACGUGCCAGCAGCCGCGGUAAUAC